AACUUUCGGCAACGGAUCACUUGGCUCUCCCAUCGAUGAAGAACGCAGCGAAAUGCGAUACGUAAUGUGAAUUGCAGAAUUCAGUGAAUCAUCGAAUCUUUGAACGCACCUUGCACUCUUUGGUAUUCCGAAGAGUAUGUCUGUUUGAGUGUCAUGAAACUCUCAACCCUGCUUGUUUGUAAUGAGACGAGCGUGGGCUUGGAUUAUGGCUGCUGCCGGCGUAACUGUCGACUCGGCUGAAAUAUACGAGCAACCCAUUUCUAAGAAAUAGACGGUUUGACUCGGCGUAAUAACAUAUUUCGCUGAGGACGUCACAUUCUUAAUCAUUAGUGGUGCUUCUAAUGCGACAUCUAAAUUUAAGCUUUAGACCUCAAAUCAGUCAGGACUACCCGCUGAACUUAAGCAUAUCAAUAAGCGGAGGCU
rnacentral:misc_RNA from 1 species